rnacentral:misc_RNA from 1 species
UCGUAACAAGGUUUCCGUAGGUGAACCUGCGGAAGGAUCAUUACCGAGUGAGGGUUUCUCUGAAGCCCAACCUCCCACCCGUGUAUACCGUACCCUGUUGCUUCGGCGGGCCCGCCUCACGGCCGCCGGGGGGCCUCGCGCCCCCGGGCCCGCGCCCGCCGAAGACCCCAACACGAACACUGUCUGAAAAGUGCAGUCUGAGUCGAUUGUUACCAAUCAGUCAAAACUUUCAACAAUGGAUCUCUUGGUUCCGGCAUCGAUGAAGAACGCAGCGAAAUGCGAUAACUAAUGUGAAUUGCAGAAUUCAGUGAAUCAUCGAGUCUUUGAACGCACAUUGCGCCCCCUGGUAUUCCGGGGGGCAUGCCUGUCCGAGCGUCAUUGCUGCCCUCAAGCACGGCUUGUGUGUUGGGCCCCGUCCCCGGUACCCCCGGGGACGGGCCCGAAAGGCAGCGGCGGCACCGCGUCCGGUCCUCGAGCGUAUGGGGCUUUGUCACCCGCUCUGCAGGCCCGGCCGGCGCCAGCCGACCAACCCAACCAUUUUCUACAGGUUGACCUCGGAUCAGGUAGGGAUACCCGCUGAACUUAAGCAUAUCAAUAA